rnacentral:rRNA from 1 species
UACGUAGGGGGCAAGCGUUGUCCGGAUUCAUUGGGCGUAAAGAGCGUGUAGGCGGUCAGGUAGGUCGGUUGUGAAAACUGGAGGCUCAACCUUCAGAGGUCGAGCGAAACCAUCUGGCUAGAGUCCGGGAGAGGAGAGUGGAAUUCCUGGUGUAGCGGUGAAAUGCGCAGAUAUCAGGAGGAACACCGGUGGCGAAGGCGGUUCUCUGGGCCUUACCUGACGCUGAGGAGCGAAAGCGUGGGGAGCGAACAGG